UAUUUUCUGAGGUAUUCGUCAGUUUCAAUGUUGAACCUACAUUAUAAAUACGGGAGAUCAAUAUUUAAUUAAAGGAUAGUCCACGCCCUAGGUGUCGAUUGGGAGGGAAGGACCAAUUAAUUGUGCGAUCACCCACCUAUCGAGAGAUAGGUGUCAACACUGAAGCAACGGUGUUUUGGAUAAAAA
rnacentral:other from 1 species